CCCUUAGAUGUUCUGGGCAGCACGCGCGCUACAAUGGUCUUCGCAAACGGAUGCAUUCUCGAAGGAGAAUGCCAAUCUUGGAAUCUAUGCCUUGGUCGGGACAGUUGCUUGCAAUUUUUCGACUCGAACCAGGAAUUCCUUGUAAUCGUGAUUCAUCACAUCACGAUGAAUACGUCCCUGCCCUUUGUACACACCGCCCGUCGCUCCUACCGAUUGAGUGCUACGGUGAAUAAUUCGGACUGCAGCAACGUUCGGUUCCUGAAUGUUGCAGUGGAAAGUUUAUUGAACCUUAUCACUUAGAGGAAGGAGAAGUCGUAACA
rnacentral:rRNA from 1 species